rnacentral:lncRNA from 1 species
GGUGAAAUCUACUAAAAUUUGACUGGAAACAAGUGCGGUGCUUUGGGAUUUGCCAUCAUAACUUCCUAUUUACACCCUGAGGGACAUCUACGGACCGCACUCCCACCCUGUCCGUCACCUGCCAUUUCUCGGCACACUCAGCAUACAGGGCCCCGUCGGCACAGUGUCUCACAAAGAUGUCGCUGUCUCUAACCCUCUUCUCCAUUCAUCCCCGAGCAGGUGUGUCAAGGGUGCCACAAUGCCAUCGACCCGGAAGUGCAGCGAGUGACGUACAAUAACUUCAGCUGGCACGCGUCCACGGAGUGCUUCCUCUGCUCCUGCUGCAGCAAGUGCCUGAUCGGGCAGAAGUUCAUGCCUGUGGAAGGGAUGGUUUUCUGUUCUGUGGAGUGUAAGAAGAUGAUGUCCUGAGUGAACACCAAGCAGUAUUGAGCCAUAGCUGUCUACAGUGGCCUGCAUUUCAUGAUAAACUGCAGUUUAAAAAAAAAAUAAAAAAUAAAAGGAAAAAAAAAAGCUACAUAACGAACCGGAAGAUUUUGUCCAAUAUUUUUCUCUUUUUAACCAUUAUGAAUUUUGUCUGUCUUAUUUUUAAAUGACUGCUUUAAGCGCAUGAUUUAAAAAAAACAGUAAAGAAUUAUAGCUUUUAUUUCUGCACAUUAAAUAUUUGAGUUGGAAGCUUGAAUUUAAUCAAUCCUUAUAACCGCAUACUCCUAGUGCUAGAUAUAUUAUAUAUAUAUAUAUAUAUAAAAUCACUUAAAAUUAGUGUCCUGGGAGAGAUGAACAUUUUAACUUCCAUGCUUGUCCCCCAUGGGAAAUGUAAAGGAAGUUACAACCGCCUGUCGAGCGGUUUGAUGAUGGUGACGUCAGCUCAGUGAGGAGUUCCUUGUGGCAGGCAGUGUGGUCCACGUUGGGUGUUCCAGUGCCUAAGCCUUUGCAUCCCCCAUGGAGGCAGAGGGGCCUCUCCCUCCUGCAUCUCUCUCUGGUUACUUUACCUCUCAGUAUCCUCUUUUGUCAUCUAGCGACCUCCAUCUGUGGCCUUGAAUAUUUUAUAUGUAUGUGGUUAGGACAAUAUGUGCACUUUGCUCUUAGAGAUUUUUUUUUUUUGUUUUUUUGUCCAGAAGAUAAAAGUAGGCCAUUCAUUUAAUUUUUUUGAAACCCAAAGAAUAUAUAGGUUUUGUACCCAGGGAAUUAUAACUCAUGCUGAUGUCACCUUAAUGCCAUGCCUUGACUCAGUUGUUUGCAUGAUUUCCAAUGUUACCAGAUGGAUACUCUCUUGUGCUACCUCUGAGCUUGCUAUAGACACAAAGGCUGUCUUCUUUGCCUGUGCACGCGCAUCCUUGGGUAUUUUUUAAUGUUUUCCGUGUAUGCUUUCAUACAUAACUAUGCACUAUAAAUAUUAAAUGGAAUGACUUAUAUGAUAUUGAAAAUAAAGCCUCUUUCACUUUAAUAA